GACAAUUCCAGUUCAAUUAUAGACCAGAAUGAUCAAAAUAGUUUUGAUCGAUUUCAUCCAAAAGAGUUGUGCUGAGAAUAAUACGUAUGCGCAGAGAUACAUGAUUCACACCUUGCCAUGCAUCCCCGCCCGAGUGGCAAACCACAAUGGAGUUUUGGAUCGAGGUCAAUGGUCAAUCAGGAAUGGCUAAGCAAUGAAAAGAACAUCAAUUUGUCCAAGGAUAAAGUUACUACCAUAAGAGAUUUUCACAUCCCCUGGCUGCCACAACCAUACAAGCAACAAAAUCUAAUACAUAGAAAGCUUGCUUCUAUCAUGAGCAUGCUAAUACCAUAGAAAAGAUUAAAAAUCCAAAGAAGUGGCCCCAUAUGACCACAUAAUAAGCAGAAAUACGAAGAUCUAUGUUCAUCACAUACAUAAACACGCUAGUCAUAAAUAUCUAUAAGAACACAACUACACUGCCCUGGGCAUGCAUUAUUUGAAUACCACUAAAGACCCAGCAUGCUUCAUCCAUUACGCUGCUGCCACCUCAGUAGCAUGCUUUGCAAUGGUCUGCUGCAGUUCCUCUUUCUUGGCACCCACAACCUUGUCGAUUAUUUUUCCUUCUUUCAAGAACAUAAAAGUUGGCAUUGCCUCGACAGCCCAAUCCUCAGCAACAGUCUUCAAUUCAUCCACAUCCACCUUCAAGAAAGUGACAUGUGGCAUCUUCUUGGCGAACUCUGCCAGAAUUGGACUGAUGAAACGACAGGGCCCACACCAGGAAGCAGUAAAAUCCACCACAAUCAAUUUCUUGCUCUCCUGUCCCUUCUCGAGCUGCUCGGUCCAGGCCUGAACGGUGUGGCAAGCAAUCACUUGUCCUUCUUCAGCCAUUUUCUGUAUUUUUCAACAAAACAAAAUUUUCUCUCUUCCUUGUAUUUACGGAUUCUUCUCAAAUUGAUAUUUUCUACGACCCCA
rnacentral:misc_RNA from 1 species